rnacentral:rRNA from 1 species
UACGAAGGGGGCUAGCGUUGCUCGGAAUUACUGGGCGUAAAGGGCGCGUAGGCGGAUAGUUUAGUCAGAGGUAAAAGCCCAGGGCUCAACCUUGGAACUGCCUUUGAUACUGGCUAUCUUGAGUACGGGAGAGGUGUGUGGAACUCCGAGUGUAGAGGUGAAAUUCGUAGAUAUUCGGAAGAACACCAGUGGCGAAGGCGACACACUGGCCCGUUACUGACGCUGAGGCGCGAAAGCGUGGGGAGCAAACGGG